UAAGGAAUAUUGGUCAAUGGGCGCAAGCCUGAUCCAGCAAUGCCGCGUGAGUGAUGAAGGCCUUAGGGUUGUAAAGCUCUUUCGCACGCGACGAUGAUGACGGUAGCGUGAGAAGAAGCCCCGGCUAACUUCGUGCCAGCAGCCGCGGUAAUACGAAGGGGGCUAGCGUUGUUCGGAAUUACUGGGCGUAAAGGGCGCGUAGGCGGCCUGUUUAGUCAGAAGUGAAAGCCCCGGGCUCAACCUGGGAAUAGCUUUUGAUACUGGCAGGCUUGAGUUCCGGAGAGGAUGGUGGAAUUCCCAGUGUAGAGGUGAAAUUCGUAGAUAUUGGGAAGAACACCGGUGGCGAAGGCGGCCAUCUGGACGGACACUGACGCUGAGGCGCGAAAGCGUGGGGAGCAAACA
rnacentral:rRNA from 1 species